UCUCCCAAUCGUCUUCGCAGCAUAUCCUCGUGCGUCCCCUGGUUAGGGAUUGACGCGCGUCACCGAGCUCAUCUCAAGCUGCUGCUGCUGCUGUCUCACACUCAUGGACCAUCACAUCCAGACAGGUACUGUGGAGUGCUGUACUCCUCUGAAACCGCGUAUAGCUACAUCACGCUUGUGUUUAUCGGGAAAGGAAGUCUAAGAUGAAUGGUGGUAACUGCAUUCAAGACCUCAUCCAAAAGAAAGCCACCCUGCUGUCCCUUGCCACCUACCUCUCAGAACAAAGUUGAGCCAACGAUAAAAGAAGUCCACCAGUGAACGACAGCGAUGUUGUACAGUCGUUUAAUGUAAGAGCUCCUAAGACCAUAAAAAAAUUACAAAUUUAUCACUUUUCACUCUUGAUCCAUCAUCCAGUUUCAUAGUCUUCCUCUGAUACUGGAACACAGUGUGCCCUUGAUCUGUGAACAUAAGAGAUGUGAAAAGUCGGAUGCACUUGUUCACACAGGAUCAGACGAUCAGGAGGACCUCUGGGUGACAAAUAAUGACAGCAGAUUGAUGAUGACAUCAACGAGCGGGGCUUUGAAGCGCUGAGCUUCACAGGUCACAGAUCAGAGUGCUGUCUUCUGGGGCUGACAGCUGGUCUGAGGGAGGGAGGCCGUCUCUGUGUGAGCAAUGCAGCUAUGCGGCCGUGAAGACUCCAUCUCCAUUACGGGACUGUCCACCGCUGCAGUGGUGGCCAUAGCAUGUAACAUCCUGGUAGCUCUUCUCAUACUGGUUCUGAUACUGAUUCUCUGCAAAGCAUGCAAGGUUCCCUCCAGCCAGGAGAGCGUCCCGGUGCUGACUCUAGAGAACGCACGUCAGAGGAAUGAGCAGAGGUACUUGCUUACGGCAUGAGGGAAAAAAAUUGGAGACGAAACACUGUUUAUACUUUGUACUGUCCACAGCGAUCAAUCACAGAUUGGGCCACAUGGUUUGACAUGAUUUCGUAGAUGUUUCUAUGCUAUUCAUAGAGGCCUGCGUAACAGAGGCGUCAUGUAAGAACACUGGAGGACGAGGAGUGAGUUGGCUGAGCAUGGGCUGCUGGGACUGUACCUGAGCUCUCUUAUACUGUACCACUCUGCCUGAGUGUUUUAUGUAAAGGUAAAGAGACUCUCAAUGCCCUCUUUUGAGUUGUUCAGUAGUGCCUGACGGUGUAAGUGAAACCCCACACCUGCAGCUAACCAGCUAGCAAUCAGUGUUAUGCUAAUUACCAUGCAAACAAAUAAAAGCUCAUGUGCAAGUAUUACAUUUUAAUAAGAGCUGAAUAGGGCUGCUUUGUGUCUGAAAGAGGAAUUUUAAUACAAAAUGCAUGUUUUAUUGUGGUUGUUUGCUUGUGCAGUGGGCCAGAGGGAUCGGUACACUAAUAACAUGCUAGCAUCUUUGCUUUUCUUGAGAAUAUCAGAGAAAAUUAAAUGGUAAAUAAAGAUUAUGAACUUUUAAUAAAUACAUUGAAAUAUCCAUAAAAA